rnacentral:rRNA from 1 species
AUGGCAAGGACCCAAGAUGUCGCGGCCGAGGAGAGGAGGUUGGCGGCUGAGGAGAGGAGGGUGGCGGCCGAGGAGAGGAAGGUGGCUUUGGAGGAGAGGAAGGUGAGCAAUGAGGAGCGAACUAGAUUGUUGGAAUGGGAGAAGCACUUGUUCUUCUUGGACACAACUAACCUCAAUGCGGUGCAAAAGGAGUAUGUCAAUCUUGCCCAACAAGAAGUCUUGAUCCAAAAAAGAACCAUGGUUCGUGCAAUGGGUGGCGGUGGCAUCGGCGCCAUGGGUGGCGGUGGCAUCGGCGCCAUGGGUGGCGGUGGCCUCGGCGCCAUGGGUGGUGGUGGCCUCGGCGCCAUGGGUGCCAUGGGUGGCUUCGGAGGUACCGUGGGCGGUUUAGGUGCAAUGGGAGGCAUGGCUGGCUUUGGAGCACCCCCCGACGCUAUGGCCACGAUGGGAGGCAUGCGUUUUGCUUCUCUCAUGGGAGGCAUGGGUGCACCUCCGGCCUUCAUGGGCGGAAUGUCUUUGGAUGAGCCUCCUCGCACACAUUCCCAUGAAGAUGUCAUUGAAGAUCUUGCCAACACCGUCGGAGCUUCACGUGAUGCGGUGCGCGAUGAGGAGAGGGAGGAAGAUUCAUCUUCGGAGGCGGAAGAAUCGUCUUUCGAAGAUGAGGACGAGGACGAAGACGACGAGGACGAGGAAUGA